ensembl:lncRNA
CUUCCCCUCUCGCUUCCCAACAGCUCCUAAUCUUGGUGUGACAUCACUGGGAAUUACAGUUAUAGUAUCUACUGGAGUGCUAAGACCAAGCUAUUUAGCACAUCAAAACAACAGUAUUAGCAAACAGACCUUCAUUUAAGGUAAUUAUGCACCAAGGAGACUGCCUUAUCUUUCAUCUCCUGUUUAUUUUGUUAACAACCACCCAGAUUCUUUAAGUAAUACCUUCCCUGCUCUCAGCUACCAAAUCAGGAUUGAGGUGGAAGGCAGCUAGCUGAGCAGCUCAGCUCUACCAGCAGAAGGUGGGCAGGUGGGGGCUGAUGAGGGGAGAGCUGCCCACCCCCCACCGUCAGCCAGCCAGCAGCUGGGCUGCUAUGGAGCACUCAGCCUGCAGCACUUUGUGCAGCCCGGAGAGGAUAUCGGGUUAGGAGAAUGUGUGCUGCACUGCCUCAGUCCAGAGAGACUUCUGGAGAGUUCAGCAGAGCACAGGAGUGGAAAAAUGUCACUCACAUCGCAGAGAUGGAGAAGCAACAGAAUUCCUGAGUCUGGGGAGGAGAGCUACAAACCGGAUAGACUUUGCUGGGGUGGCUGUGAGGACGUCGCUGGUGGAUCGCCUCGUGGUAAAGCACAGCCACUCAGAUGAAGAAAAGCAUGAACUGUAAACAAAGGACUGCAAGAAAUGAAUGCGCUGUGCUACAGAGGGACGUCCAGGAACGCAUUAUUCAUUGGUAAGCUAAUAGAAAGAGUGAACUGGGAUAGCAGAGCACUUUGCUGACUGUGCUAAAUGGGGAGAUUCCAAAUGAACCCAGAGGAACAAUACCAAAAAAGGACCUAGAUAGACUAGAAAGCAACGAAAUACUGAGACUUAAUGUGGAAAAACUGUAAGUAAAUCUGCCUGGGGGAAACUAAUCCAAAACACAGAUGUUCCACUGGAGAGAGAAACCUUGAAAGUAGUUGUGUUACAGCAGACUGGGAAUGACAAGAGAGCUGAUGGUGAGACCCCAGCGCAGCAGAGCAUGCUGCUCGCUCUGCAGUGCCCCCACGAAAUGCUGAGUGUGGCGGUGUGAUCUGCAGAGAUAAUGCACUGUGUAUGCAGCUCUGAGAGGUGCAGUAUGGAGGAAAAGGAAAGAACUCAUCCAGCAUUGUACCACCACUCAGUAGGGUGUGAGGUCAGAGAUGAACCCAUAAAGACUGAAACAGCAGCACUGUGUGCUCAAUCACGUGGCACACAUAAAACCAAACACAUACCCAGAAACCCAGCAGCAGGCUGCCUGGGUUGCAAAGGUCGGGUGUGCCAAGAGGCCGUCCUUCAUCGUUCAUUGCCAAAUUUCCUCUUAAGUAUCAACCUCUGACUGACAGACCGAGCUCCACACAAAGGCCACAUCUGAAAAGGGUCUGACUGUGACUUCCUCAAGAAGUCUUAAGAAAAAGGCAUUAGAUAGAAGGUAAUUAAGGAAAUGUCCAGGUAGAAAUACUCAGAAGUGUUAAUCAGGACAUGGAAAAGGUAACUCUGUUCUGUGCUGGGUGGCAAGGCUGCUGCAGACAGCCCAAGGCAGCAGCUCAGGUGGUGGUAAUGCUGCUGCCUUCCCACCAGAGCUGUGUGUGGAACUGCAGCUGUGCAUGGCUUGAGCAGCUCUGGCACACGGCGCAGGCACCACUCAAAGCCUGCUGAUGGGGUUUGAUGCCCUGCGUGGUCUGCUGUGGGUGCCGGUGUGUCCCGGCAGUGGGUUGUGCUGGCGGCAGCAUGUGCUCCCAUCCACAGGAAUGCGUGGUGCGGGGAGCCCCGCUGCCAGCUCCUCUUUUAUUUCCGGAGAUGGAUGGAAUCCACUCCGGGAAGAGAGGCGGCUGGUGGCAGCACGCGGCAGCAAAGCCACUGGGGAGCGUUUCUUUCCACGCUUUGUCUGGGAGACCGCCUCAGGCCUUGCAGGGCGUUACGGGGAGGGAUGCAGAGGGUGUGCGAGGACGCGGUGAUGCUGAGCGGUGCCCGCGGGUACCCACCCCCCACCGGCUCCCCCAGGGCCGCGUUCCGAGGCUGCUGCAGACCCACAUUGCCACCUAGUGCCGGAGGAGCAGGCCGGCCGCGGGCACCCUGCGCUCCCGCACCGCUCCCCAGCCGGCCCCUACUCUCGUUGCGGAACCUUAAGGGGGGUGAGUAAAUCUUGUGCUGUUCUGCUGAAGACGCGGGGCUGGCACGCUCAGCUGAAAGGAUUCGCUGCUGCAUCCUGAAAACUAUACCAAGCAACUGGGUGACACGGUGCUGCUAUUAAACCUGCCCGGUGAAGUUGGCUGUCUCAGAUCAGGGAGAGCUCGCGUCUUUCUGACCCAGUACAGCUGAGGUUUGCCAUGCAGAGCAAGGCCAUCAGCCCUGCACACCGCAGGAAGGAAGGCGCAAAGCCUGAAGGAAGGCAUCUUCCUCACACGUCUUGAGCUUCUGUCAAGAGAGCUCAUGAGGAAAGAGGUGCUCGGAAGCACCAGCCGAUGCAGUCAGCUGCUCAGCCCACGAUGCUCUGAAGCUUGGGUUCAUCAGGCAGCAGGAAGCAAACAUGGGCUGCUUUGGUAGCUGGAAGUCAGCACAGGUCCGGAGGACUGGAAGAGCAUUUCACCUCCGGCCCACUGAAUUCCUGCUGCAACAUCCACCAGGUGAAGCUGUGGUCCUGAAAACAGAGCACCCAUUUACUGAGGCAAGGAAAAUUUCAGCUUCAAGCGGUUUUUAGAGGAUCUUUUUCCCUCCAAUACCAGAAUGGCAUUGAAAUCCAUUUGUUCGAGACUUGCUGUGCCACAAUAGAAAUCAUAGCUGCAUUCUUCUCUCAGAAAGAGGCAAGUCCUGUUUGAGAAGCGUUAGGUUUUCCUGACGUUCAGUCUCAGCUUCUGCUCAAGGUGUUCAAUGCUGUCUCUCUGGUGCAGAUCAAGGACCAGCUUCCUCCUCAAUACAAUUCUGCCUAAGCCCAUGCAUUUACACUGGGGAUGAAUUUUGUCCAUAAGGUUUGUGAUUCUUAGGCAGAGGCUUAUUGACAAACACUGUUCUGAAGACAUUUACAUGCAGCAAAGCUCAUAAGCCAGCAAACAUCUGUUCUCUCGUUAGCAGCCUCCUCAGCAUUUGUCCUGAAGGCAAAAAUCUACAGGACAAGUUUCCCAGCACCUAAACUACUGUAGGAUAAUUCUUUAACUAAAUGGAAAGCAAAGCCCAAGGACCUGGGAAUUCGCUUUUGUACAAUAAUCUUUUGUGUGCGUACAGUGGGAACCAGAGGAUUAUGGAGUCAAAUCAUGAGAAUUCAGGUCAAGUGAGAUUUGAGGGGGAAGGAGAAUGUGGCAGCAGCACCAGGGGGAAGACUAAACGUGUCAGUCCAAGACUCUUACUGUGGAAGUGCUGGAGAAUUAAGCAGUCAAAAAAGAAACCUGAAAUGGUACCCAUAAAUGGUCAACCAUCAGAGAGUCAGCUUGAGCCUGCCACAAUCACUUUCUUUGUUGGACAGAAAUGACCACAUCCUGGGCUUCCAAAUUAGCUACAAAUGUAAUGUUCAGAAACUAAAAGAUGCUGAAGGCAACCAUUUUAUUCAUUCUGCCCCUCCAGCCUUUAUUAAAAUAAAUAAAUAAAAGUAUGCAAAACAAAAAAAUGUAUUUACACAGCUUUAAAUGCAAAUAGGAUUU